rnacentral:rRNA from 1 species
AUUGAACGCUGGCGGCAGGCCUAACACAUGCAAGUCGAACGAGUGGCGGACGGGUGAGUAAUGUCUGGGAAACUGCCUGAUGGCGGGGGAUAACUACUGGAAACGGUAGCUAAUACCGCAUACCAUCGGAUGUGCCCAGAGGGGAUUAGCUCGUAGGUGGGGUAAAGGCUCACCUAGGCGACGAUCCCUAGCUGGUCUGAGAGGAUGACCAGCCACACUGGAAAUGAGACACGGACCAGACUCCUACGGGAGGCAGAAGUGGGGAAUAUUGCACAAUGGGCGCAAGCCUGAGGCAGCAAUGCCGCGGGUAUGAAGAAGGCCUUCGGGUUGUAAAGUACUUUCAGCGGGGAGGCGUUACCCGCAGAAGAAGCACCGGCUAACUCCGUGCCAGCAGCCGCGGUAAUAC